CUCAAUCCUCAUGGUUUAUAUAUGCCUUUGCCUGUACCUAGUGUUCCUUGGGAGGAUAUAUCUAUGGACUUUGUUUUAGGUUUACCUCGAACAAAGAAGGGGAGGGAUAGCAUAUUUGUUGUCGUGGAUAGAUUCUCGAAAAUGGCACACUUUAUACCAUGUCAUAAAAGCGAUGAUGCUGUUAAUGUUGCUGAUUUGUUCUUUCGUGAAAUUAUUCGCUUGCAUGGUUUGCCAAAUACUAUUGUUUCAGAUCGUGAUACUAAAUUUCUUAGCCACUUUUGGAGAUGUUUAUGGGCUAAGUUGGGGACUAAACUGCUUUUUAGUACUACUUGUCAC
rnacentral:rRNA from 1 species